rnacentral:misc_RNA from 1 species
AACCAUAGAAACCUGCGGAGUACCUGCGGAAGGAUCAUUACAGAGAACUUGCCCGUCUGGGUAGAUCUCCCACCCUUUGUUUACUAUACCUUUGUUGCUUUGGCAAGCCUGUCUUGUGACUACUGGCCUCCAGCUAGUAAGUGCUUGCCAGAGGACCCCAAACACUUUACAUUGUGUUGUCUGAGUAGUACAGAAAUUUUUAAAACUUUCAGCAAUGGAUCUCAGAUCGGAAGAGCACAC